GUGUAUAACACACCUGCCAUGUGUAUGUACACAUGAUAAAGGAGUAAUGCUGAUAUUGGUUGCUGUGAAUUCCAUUUUUUCGGUUUUUCAUCAAGAACCUUUCUGUGUGCUUCUUAGAAAAGAGCACACAAGAUCCCCAUCUUUGAGCUUGUUCCGGCCAAUGGAACUUGGGGCUUGAAAGUGGAAGUUGGGGGGGUUGAUCUAAAUUCUUCGACACUACUUUUUACAUUCCUUGAGAUCGCGUGUCGGCCGCCUGUGUCAAUCUACAACGCAGAUUCUUCAUGGAAUUGUGUGGGCUUGGCACCGAGAUCCUUUGGCCUACGCUGGCCUUUGUCGAUGACAGAAGUGACUUGCACCUACGUUCUGCUCCAUCCUUUCCCUAUAUUCACGACUUCUAGCUUCACUGCUUCUUAUGCUGCUACUCAACUUGUUUCUUCACUGACGCGUUACUGGAUCACUUCAUGGUCACUUCCGUCCACUAUGAGUCUAUGACACACCUGUAGACCUGUAGUCACUCACCACCAGCUGUUUUGUCAUCAGUUAUCAUUUGGACCAUCUCAUCUCUACUCCAUUGCAGCCAGCCACACACAAGAGUCAUCACUUUUCUCAUCUUGUGUGUCUUGCGGAAGUCCGGAAUCAGCUACUACUACUACUACUACUACACCAGGGUGUGACAUCAAGUACUCUCUAUACUCUUCCUUUGAUCCCGUCCAAAUUAUCAUAAGACCCACCAACGACAUUCCCGCAGUAGAGCAGCAGCCCAGUAGAGGAGGAUGUCGA